GCCGUGCCUGCCUGCCUCCUCCUCCUGCUUGCUGGGGGCACUGCAGGUUCUGGAUGGGCCACCUGUGGAUAGGGAAAGCCCUCCUCUAGGUCACUAGGCAACUCCUGCACUCGACCACGGCACCCGCUUCCUCUGGGCAAACGCCUCUCUCGGGUCCUUUCCCAGCAACUCCUCGAGGUCGUCCAGGUCCCAAGUCCCUUCGCUCAGGAGCUGCAAGGCUGAUGGCGGGCGGCGAGGCCCCGGGCGCUCGGCACGCCGUGCAGCUCGGCCCGGCCGCACCUGUUGCAGGUGCGCGCUGCUGCGCCGAGCGGCCAUGCGCGGCCGGGUCCGGCCAUACGGGCGCCUGACGCGGCUGGAGCGCCCAGGCGGGCGUGCGCGGCGGGCCUCUCGCGCCGCAGGACUCGGCUCGGAAGCCGGCGGCACCAGCUCGCCAGCUUGGAGGAAGCCUCGACUCCGCCCUCGGUACAAAGCCGCCGCCGUCGCCGCCCGGGCUCGGGUCUGGGCCUGCCCUCCGCGCCGCGCCCCGGCGGACGGCGGCUCCACCCGCAGCGGCGCCCCGGCUCGCGGCCCCGGCGCCAGGCUCCCACUUACCUGUGGAGGGCGGCGGGGAGGAGGCGCAGGGCCCUGGCUCCGACCCUCGGCCCCGGCUGACACCAACCGCCCGCGCUCCCGCCGCAGCCCCCACGCCACCACCUUCCGGGGUCGGGUCCCUGGGACACCACAGAGACGGGCCCGGAAACGGCCCGAAUGCCAGGCUUCGCCCCUCCGACGCCAGCACUGAGGCGAACGAACCCGGAACCGAGGUAGAGCGCCGCACAGGUGACUCUCAAGCCGUUGCCAUCUUGAGUGUGGGCGCCAGGACGGCCCUGCCUUUCCGUUACGGCUCUCCGCAGCUAGGUUGGUCCGUGAAGAUGUCUCUUCUGCCGCGCUUUGUAUUGCAUGCGCGUCUGUCUUGAUUUUAAGUUCUAGCUUUUUUAACCAGGCACUUUUAAUUUCGUUUCCGCCCGAACCCAAAAUGGCCGCCGGCGGCCUCCAACAAAUACAGUAGCGAGGGGCGGGGCGGAGAAUAGGAGCGUGGAGCGGGGCGGGGACUCUCGGGAGGCGAUGCCCCGCCCCGCGUUCCUGAUUGGCUGCGCUGCGCUGGCCAAUCGUAUUCGCGGACCCGGCGGAGGCUGUCAGAGGUCCGGGGCCUCGGCCGGAUCCUGAGACUGACCGGGGUCGCGGUUCCGCGGAAAGGAGAAGAGACUGUUUCUAAGUGUCUCCUUGGAUUCCAGAACAAGAACUGAUGUGAUAAACAUCUUGUGAUUACCCCCAGGCAACAGCAACUUUCUCAUCCUGAACAAGGCCUGCCGGACCCAUCCUGAGAUCACCGUGGGCAGACCACACUUGAUCAAGGCCACCUGCUUUGGAAGCUGUGCAAACCCGGGCCCUUGCCCUCAUUUCCCUUCGUAUAAAAUCUCAAAGUCAUUCUAGUCCCUGGGGGAUAAGGCUGAGGACAUGGGUACCCCUGUCUUCCAGUGUAGCUACGCAGAUUAAAGUUACCUUUUCUGCUUGCUUUUUGUGGCUUGUGGCCCACACUGAUUUAUUGGAUCCCUGGAGUCAGUCCUCUGGCCUAGGACUCCAGGGAUAAUGGCAGCAUCCUAGAGGACCUGGGGGUGAUGGCAGUGCGCCAGGGAAAGCCUCCGCCUUCCUGGUCAGGGGAAUGAAUGUGGGUGACGUGAUGGCAGCCACCCAAGCACCAUGGGACAAUAAGCCAACAAGCCAAGGUGGUAGAGGUGAGAGACGGGAGGAGUGGGAUCCCCUUAGCAUGUCAUGCUGUCCCGGGAGGAUUCAUCAGGGGACUAGAAAUAAGUCCCGUCGACCAGCACGUGACUCUUGUGCAGCAGCAGAGGUGCCCACCUGGCUCCCUCGACCCUUACCUCUCAGCCUUGUGGCGUCACCAUCUGUCCCUGCUCCCCAGCCCUUAUGUGGCAGAGCUCCUGGGUGGCCUCUGUCCUCCAGCACUUCUUCAUUUCCCCAAAUAUUAAUGACAAAGGGAACUUCACUGCCGAUUGAGUGGGAGGGAGAAACUCCCAAGGAGUCACCUCCUCACUUAUUCCCUCCUGAUGCCACUCCAGUCUCUAAAAAGUCACCUGUGAAGACCCUGUAUUAGAUUCCAGACUUACAGAAGUUACAGGUUAACUCAGACAUUUUUGUCCAGCAAGGAUGCAAAUAAUUCUGUCCAGUGAACACUUGAUUCUGUAGGAAGAUAGGACCAUGUUCUAAUAGCACAUAGAGUGUCCAGCCUCCUAAUUAGAGUUUAAUGACAAAAUCUUUCACAAAUUAUCUGCAUCUGGAACUGGUUUGAAAUGCUAAACCUGGUGUCCCUUUCCCAAGUGUAUAGAUUACUGGACUUGUAACGGUGUCCACUUUAUGCUUUGAAUAUAGCCCUUGCUGCUCAGCCACUGGGGCUUAUUUUUAAAAUUGAUGUGUUUCUUUCUCUUCCUUUCUCCCUCCUCCUCCCUAAUCUCUCCCUAAUCUUGGGGAAACAAGAUCACCUUUCUUCCCCAUCCGAGGUAAAGUUAUCUGUCCUGAGCAUGCACUCACCACAGGAACAGUAAUUCAGGCUUAGGGAUGGUACCAGAAGGUCUAAGAAAUGACUGUCUCCCAAACUAACAAGCGAAUUACAGCUGUAGACAGAGACCACAUGGGGUGUGGCCUUCGAAUCACCUCUUUAAACACCCCCCUCCCCAUUCCCCAUGAUGGGCAGAAUCACAGCCUCUGGGACAGGAGUUCCCUGUGUUUCUCUCUGCUAGCAAAGCAAUA